CCUACGGGGGGCAGCAGUCGAGAAUUUUUGGCAAUGGGCGAAAGCCUGACCAAGCGAUGCCGCGUGCGGGAUGAAGGCCUUCGGGUUGUAAACCGCUGUCAGUGGGGAGGAAAGCUUUGUGAAGAGCAAGGCUUGACCUAUCCGCAGAGGAAGUGUGGGCUAAGUUCGUGCCAGCAGCCGCGGUAAGACGAACCACACAAACGUUAUUCGGAAUUACUAGGCUUAAAGGGUGCGUAGGCAACGCAGUAGGGAAAUACCGCGGCUCAGCCGAGGAACUGCGCCCAAAACUACUGUGCGUGAGGAAGAUAGAGGUAAGCGGAACUUACGGUGGAGCGGUGAAAUGCGUUGAUAUCGUAAGGAACACCUGUGGCGAAAGCGGCUUACUGGGUCUUUUCUGACGCUGAUGCACGAAAGCUAGGGGAGCAAACGGGAUUAGAUACCCCUGUAGUC
rnacentral:rRNA from 1 species